rnacentral:rRNA from 1 species
AUUGAACGCUGGCGGCAGGCCUAACACAUGCAAGUCGAACGAGUCGCGGACGGGUGAGUAAUGUCUGGGAAACUGCCCGCUGGCGGGGGAUACCUACUGGAAACGGUAGCUAAUACCGCCUACCUUCCGUUUUGCCCCGAUCGGCUUAGCUAGUAGGUGGGGUAACGGCUCACCUAGGCGCCGAUCCCUAGCUGGUCUGAGAGGAUGACCAGCCACAAUGGAACUGAGACACGGUCCAGACUCCUACGGGAGGCAGCAGUGUGAAAUAUUGCACAAUGGGCGAAAGCCUGCCGCAGCCAUGCCGAGUGUAUGAAGAAGGCCUUCGGGUUGUAAAGUACUUUCUGCGAGGAGGCGGUAAUCGCAGAAGAAGCACCGGCUAACUCCGUGCCAGCCGCCGCGGUAAUUC